GGUGUGUGUGCUGAAGACCAAGGCCUGGCCUAAGCAGGGAGCCAGGAGACAGAAGGAAUGGCCCCUGGGAGCUGCAGACCCCUACCCCAGAUCAUUUUUCAGUUGAGGAACCUGGGGGCAAUCAGAGUUAACUGACCUGCCCAGUGUCACACACAGCUAGCAAGGAUCUGAGCCCAAAUUGGAAGUCAGACUUUCCUGACUCCAGACUCAACAUUCUAUCCACUCCGUCUACCCCCAUAAUUUCAACACUGUGGUAUUAAAAGUGUAAAUAUCAUUGUUAAGUCUCCAUUUGAGUUUGAAUCUUUUGUUGUCUCUGAACUAAUUUCCAUUGUUUUAUUUUAAUGGAAUGAAAGGAUAUGUUGAUGAUUUCUGCCUUUUUACAUUUGUUUGCAGUAUCUUUCUGCCCUAAUCCAUGAUUAAUUUUUGCAAAAGUUCUAUGGGGUACAAAGAGGCAAAUAAUGUCUUCAGUUCUGAUUUUGUUUCUAAAAAUAUUUGAUAAA